rnacentral:rRNA from 1 species
GAUGAACGCUGGCGGCGUGCCUAAUACAUGCAAGUCGAGCGAACAGACGAGGAGCUUGCUCCUUCGACGUUAGCGGCGGACGGGUGAGUAACACGUAGGUAACCUACCUAUAAGACUGGGAUAACUUCGGGAAACCGGAGCUAAUACCGGAUAAUAUUUCGAACCGCAUGGUUCGAUAGUGAAAGAUGGCUUUGCUAUCACUUAUAGAUGGACCUGCGCCGUAUUAGCUAGUUGGUAAGGUAACGGCUUACCAAGGCAACGAUAUGUAGCCGACCUGAGAGGGUGAUCGGCCACACUGGAACUGAGACACGGUCCAGACUCCUACGGGAGGCAGCAGUAGGGAAUCUUCCGCAAUGGGCGAAAGCCUGACGGAGCAACGCCGCGUGAGUGAUGAAGGUCUUCGGAUCGUAAAACUCUGUUAUUAGGGAAGAACAAACGUGUAAGUAACUGUGCACGUCUUGACGGUACCUAAUCAGAAAGCCACGGCUAACUACGUG